AGAAUUCCUAUGUCCAAAGCCAGAGCCUCAACUCAAGCUACUGCUGAACCAAGAGAAGAAGAGGCUGUUGGAGGAAAGAAACGGAAAGAAAGGGUCAAGAAGACCAUGGUCAGAGUGAUUAGUAAGCCAUCUAUGGUCAGGGAAUCAGGUGAAGAAGAGGAGGAAGAGCCCAUUGCGCCUCCUGCCAAGUCCCAGAAGCUGAUGGGAGAUGCUAUCAAGUCUGGGGCUGCUCCAUCCAAGCCCAAGAUAGCUCCCAAGAUAGCUCCCAAGCCUGCUGCUACUACUACUCAAGCUUCAAAGCCAACAGCACCCAAGAGAUCCACAAGAAACAUCUUAGUUGCAGAGAAGAACAAGGCCCCAGUGCCUGAAGUUCAAGAGGAUGUUGAGCCCCAAGUGCUCAGGAAGCUCAAGCCAAAAAAU
rnacentral:rRNA from 1 species